UUUGACUUUUCGAGUGGUAAGAGUCAUUAGAUUGAAAUAUUGUGUAUUUUAUUUACUAUGGAGGAUACUAAAGAAGCCUCCACCAUUUGGUUUAAGGCCUGAAGCUGACGCUCCGCCGUGUCCAACAGCCUCAUUACUGCGUCCGUGCCAGUUAGCAAUUGUACCUCAUCAGGUCCCAGCAAUAUGUUCUCCCAAUGUAUUGUUUUAAAUUAACCUCUGCAGUACUUCCAGUGGGUCAGUCCAUUGAAGGCAGAAAAACACUAUAUGUUCCGUAGUGUCAUUAAUCCAACCCACUGUGUGAACAUCCGGGAUGAUGGUUUUCCUCUUAAACAGAGGUGGAAGUUGAGCAGAAAUUCCGGAAGUGGUGACAGGAAUCGGCAGGAAAAGAGCAUUAAAUAGGAAAAAGUUUUAAAAUGAAAAUGGGUGGGGGUGGGGACAUGUACGUGAGGUAUUGGUGUUACUACUAUAGUAUCCUUUAUUGCCGUGCAAUAGGUUUUAUCAUUAUUAUUAAGAUACGAGCAUUAUUGUUUUACAUUAUAAAUAAGACAUAUUAUUAUUUGCAUAUGU
rnacentral:misc_RNA from 1 species